rnacentral:rRNA from 1 species
GAUGAACGCUGGCGGCGUGCUUAACACAUGCAAGUCGAACGCUAAGGCGUGCUUUCCCAGCCUAGUUAAGGCCGACCGGUUAGUAAACCGUUGGGAACUUGCCCUGUAGUCAGGGAUUACAGACGGAAAAGACUGAUAAAACCUGGUAAAGUCCGCCGGCCUCAUGUCGGGUGUGAUGAAAAGAGAUGCUGCAGGAGAGCCUUGGGGGCUAUUAGCUUGUUGGUGGGGUAACGGCCCAACCAGGCGAUGAGAGGGAGCCCGGCUGAGGGGGGGGACGGCCACAGGGGGAGUGAGAUACGGCACACACGCCUGCGGGAGGCAGGAGUGGGGAAUAUUGGAAAAGGGGGGCGACCCUGGUACAGCAAUUCUGUGUGGACGAUGAAGCUUUUCGGAUUGUAAAGGGCUUUCAGGAGAGAAGAAAAAAAUGACGGUACCUGCAGAAGAAGCGACGGCUAAAUACGUG